UAGGGAAUCUUCCGCAAUGGACGAAAGUCUGACGGAGCAACGCCGCGUGUGUGAAGAAGGUUUUCGGAUCGUAAAGCACUGUUGUGAGAGAAGAGCGAUUUAAAGAGGGAAUGCUUUAAAUGAGACGGUAUCUCACCAGAAAGCCACGGCUAACUACGUGCCAGCAGCCGCGGUAAUACGUAGGUGGCAAGCGUUGUCCGGAUUUAUUGGGCGUAAAGGGAGCGCAGGUGGUGCCUUAAGUCUGAUGUGAAAGCCCAUGGCUCAACCAUGGAGGGUCAUUGGAAACUGGGGCACUUGAGUGCAGAAGAGGAAAGCGGAAUUCCAUGUGUAGCGGUGAAAUGCGUAGAUAUUAGGAGGAACACCAGUGGCGAAGGCGGCUUACUGGACGGUAACUGACGUUGAGGCUCGAAAGCGUGGGGAGCAAACAGGAUUAGAUACCC
rnacentral:rRNA from 1 species